CGCGAUAGCCAGUGCUUUGUUGAGUGUGCCUGGUCAUUCCACCUCGGAAGACUUUUGAAGACGCCUUCACGCACGCCUUCACUGGCCCUCACGUGAGGAUAUCAUGGAUGCAGAUGGCAAACACGUCACUUACUAGGCUCACUGAGAAGUCUGAAUACAUUUAGUCUGUAACACUCUACCCACCUCUCGCUUAUGUGUUUUUUUUUUUUUAUUUUGACAGACAGAGCGGACAGUGAGAGAGACAGAGAGAAAGGUCUUCCUUCCGUUGGUUCACCCAACAAUGGCCGCCGCGGCCGGCGCACCGCGCUGAUCCAAAGCCAGGAGCCAGGUGCUUCUCCUGGUCUCCCAUGGGGUGCAGGGCCCAAGCACUUGGGCCAUCCUCCACUGCACUUCCAGGCCAUGCAGAGAGUUGGCCUGGAAGAGGGGCAACCGGGACAGAAUCCGGCGCCCCGACUGGGACUAGAACCUGGUGUGCCAGUGCCGCAAGGUGGAGGAUUAGCCUAGUGAGCCGCGGCGCCGGCCUCGCUUACGCAUUUCUAAAACAGCUCUAUGACAGGUCUCCAAAAGGCUCAUGGGAAUAGGGAUCGAAAGAUGCUGGGAGGCCGCACAGACAGUGAAGCCACCGGGUUCCUGCCAGCCACGUGGGAGAUGUGGAUUGCAUUCCCUACUCCUCGCGUUCACCUGGUCCAGCUCCAGCUGCUGUGGGCAUCUGGGGAGUGAAACAGAGGACACUGGCUCCUUCUCGCUCUUUCUCUAAAUUAGGAACCAAAGAGAAGUCAGAAGGAGCCAAGGCAGCACCCCAGGUGGAUGGCUAAUGAUUUUCCGUCAGAACCGCCCCUGUGUGAUGAGAAGAGUGAGCAGGUGCACUGUUACGAUGGAGAAGGACUCUCUGAGAAGCUGUCCCAGCCGAGCUUCAUCAUAAAUUCGAGGUUUGCUCGUGCUCCGAUUACAGCAGAAAUCACACGGAUGUCUAGUCCUUCUUACCGCCUAAGACGAGGUAUUUCCCAGGUGUGUUGGUAUGGCUUUAUUUUGAUGCGAGUGUUUUGAACUAUAUGCAUAACUUUUUCAUAGUAUGUGUGCUUUGUGAAGACCCCUUGUACAGCAAGGCAUUUGACAUAUUACGCAACUUUCCUAUUUAAAAAAUAUAAUUUAAUGAUUCCAUUAUAUUCACAGUUUUACAACAAUCACCAAAUCUGAUUAUAGAGCACUUUGUCACCCCAUAAGGAAUUCUUUGUCUUUUGUAAGCCAAUUUCCUGUCUUCGUUUACUCUCCUGUCCCUGCCUAACCAUCUAUUUACUUUUUCCUGCUACACUUUCACCUACACCAGUCCCAUUUUAGUCUGUGGGAUACAUUCCAGACUCCCACUGGAUGCCUGAGCUACAGAUUGCACCAACCUUAUAUAUACUGUGUGUUCCACACAUCCACACAAAGCCUUAAUAAAUGAUCUACAAGGCACAGAGGCUGACAAUAACUAACAAUAAAACAGAACAAUUAUAACAAUAAGCCAUCAUAAAAGUUAUAUGAAUAUGAUCCCUCUCUCUCAUAAUAUUGUAUUGAACUUCCACCUUUUCACUGGGAAGAAGCAGUGUGAACACACUGUGGCUCCGCAGCAGUUGAUCUGAUGACCAAGUGGGUAAGUGACUGGUGGCAGGUGGGGAGCAACUCGGACUAGACUGUUACUGGAAUUAAGACUUAUUCUGUGCAUCUGCUCUCCCACAAUAUGGCGCUGGGAGAGGAGCAAACAGCUUCUACCCAGCUGCCCCUCACCAACUUGACAAGCUGUAGGAGCUGCUCCUGAUUGGAGGAGAGCAGCGUACUCGGCGUGUGGGCAGCCGAGUUGGGAUUGGUGGAAGAGGACUAUAAAGGAGGAGAGAGACAACAUGCACCGGGAACAUCUAUCUGAAGGAACACCUGUGCAGCCCCCGAGAGAGCCGGCCGGCGGUGUGCCGCUCCCCCGCGGAAGUGGGGAAAGUGGCAGGGGGAACCGCCCUUCCACGGAGGUGGAAGGGUCGGUAGCCAACCCGGGAAGAACCAGCAGCAAACCCGGGGAGGGCCGAGCAGACAAAAGAACAGCGCAGGGUCCUGUGUCGUUCCUCCACGAAGACGGGGAGCGACAGUGGCAGGUAGUGUAGACAGCAUGGGAACCCUGAACAGGGGGCUGGCUCAUGUCCUGGGUGGGAUGAGAUUUUGUCAUGCCACUCAGAAUGACGUGCAGCUCAAAGCUUAGGGAUUUGUUGUUUCUGGACUUUUCUAUUGAAUAUAUUUGAACCACAGUUUGGUGCAGGUGAGUGAAAUAGUAUGAAGCGACACUAGACAUGGCGGGUGGGGACGCUGCUGUGUUGUGAACAUUUCCUGUAAAUGGGGCCAGAUAAUACGGGCUCCUUAGUAUCUGGCUCUUUCACUUAUGUACUAUUACUCAGAUUUAUCCGUAUUACAGGGUAAACCCGUGCUGCAUUCCUCUUUAGUGUGAAUAUUAUUUCAUUAUUGGGAUAUACCACAUUUUAUUUAUCUAUUCAUGAUUAGGUAGAUAAAUCUCACAUUUGUGUUUUCUCCAAAGAUUCAGCUAGUACAAAUAUGAUGACUAAAAUAUCAAUGUACAAGUUUUUGCCUGGAUGCAGGUUUUCAUUUCUCCUGGCGGAAUUCCUGAGGAGGAUUGGUAGGUCACGUGGUGACUGUAUAAUCUGGAAAACAAUUCAGACGUUCCUCAAGAAGUGGAAGGCAGAGUCAGCACCAUAGUGGGUGAGGGUUUUCAUUUCUUGCCUUUCAUGCAUUUCGUAUAUUUGCUGUGGUUGGAAUGCUUGUUCCUUCCAAAGCUCACGUUGAAAUGUAACUGUCAUUGCCGGUGCUGAGGCUCACUUGGCUAAUCCUCCUUGCAGUGCGGGCACACCGGGUUCUAGUCCCAGUCAGGGUGCCGGAUUCUGUCCCAGUUGCCCCUCUUCCAGGCCAGCUCUCUGCUGUGGCCAGGGAGUGCAGUGGAGGAUGGCCCAAGUGCUUGGGUCCUGACCCCAUGGGAGACCAGGAGAAGCACCUGGCUCCUGCCUUCGGAUCAGUGUGAUGCGCCGGCCGCGGCGGCCAUUGGAGGGUGAACCAACGGCAAAGGAAGACCUUUCUCUCUGUCUCUCUCUCUCACUGUCCACUCUGCCUGUCAAAAAAAAAAAAAAAAGAAAUUUAACUGUCAUUAUAACAGUAUCUGUGUGUGUGUGUGAGUGUGUGUGUGUGUGUGUGUGUUGGGGGGCUUUGAGGCAUGAUUAGGCAAGGAAGGCUCCACCCACAUGGGAGAGAUCCCUGCUUUGAUGGGUGUCUGGCCCCUCCUGCCUCUUUGCCCUUCUGCCUCCCACUGCGUGAUGGUGUGGACGACGUGUAACCAGAAGGCCCCCACCAGAAGCUGGCUCCCCAUCUUGGACUCAGCUUCCAGAACUAUCAGGAAAUGCAAUUCUGCCUCUAUGAAUUCCCCAGUCUUGGGUGUUCUGCUGCAGCAGCACAAAUGGACGGAGACAAUCUCUCUUCCGGAGGCUUCCUGAAGGGGCGCCUCACUGUGGUUCUAUCGGUUUCCCUGGUGCCCGAUGGCACUGGAAGUCCUUACAUGUUGUUCUUGGCUAUAUGCGUAUUUGAAAUGUCCCAUCAGAUGCUUACUUACCAUUUGGGUUUUUUCUCUACUUGAGGUAGAAGAUCUGCCAGUGCGUUCUGUCCUGUGUCAGGUGUCCCUGUGUCAGGUGUCCCUGUCAGGUGUCCCUGUGUCAGGUGUCCCUGUGUCGGGUCUCCCUGUGUCAGGUGUCCCUGUGUCAGGUGUCCCUGUGUCAGGUGUCCCUGUGUCGGGUCUCCCUGUGUCAGGUGUCCCUGUGUCGGGUGUCCCUGUGUCGGGUGUCCCUGUGUCAGGUGUCCCUGUGUCAGGUGUCCCUGUGUCAGGUCUCCCUGUGUCAGGUGUCCCUGUGUCGGGUGUCCCUGUGUCAGGUGUCCCUGUGUCAGGUGUCCCUGUGUCGGGUCUCCCUGUGUCAGGUGUCCCUGUGUCGGGUGUCCCUGUGUCAGGUGUCCCUGUGUCAGGUCUCCCUGUGUCGGGUGUCCCUGUGUCAGGUGUCCCUGUGUCGGGUGUCCCUGUGUCAGGUGUCCCUGUGUCAGGUGUCCCUGUGUCAGGUCUCCCUGUGUCAGGUGUCCCUGUGUCAGGUCUCCCACUCUGGGUUUUGCUUUCCCUUUCUUGAUGGCAGCUAACACAAAAGCCUUUCAUUCCAGUGAAGUCCGACUUCGGUGCUGUUUUUUUCUUUUGUCAUGUCUGCGUUUGCUGUGUAUCCAAGAAGACUUUGCCUACCGCCAGUCGUAAGAAUUUACUCCCAUAUUUUCACAGUUUUAGCUCAGACACUUACGUCUCUGAUCUCUUAGUUCUGUGGGUAGUAGAGGAAGAGGUUCAGCCUCAUUCUUCAGCAUCCGGUUGAUUCCAAGCUGCUGCCUGACACGACUACUCCUUCCCCAUUGGAUCGUCUUGGCGGCUUGUUGAACACCACCCUGGCUGUGGCGGCGUUAUGGAUGGUCAGUCCUCUGCACCGAUUCACGUGUUUGCUCCACACCACGCCGUCUUAAUUGCUGUAGCUGCGUGGAAAUAAACCUGAUCCUAUGGCGACUGGCUCACACCUGCUGAAUCGGAGCAGAGCCGUCGACCGGGCUCUGGCCAGGCGUCCCAUCUGCCUCACGCAAGCAAUACUGCAGCAGAGAGCCUGGCACACCUGCCUUUGAGUGCCGAUCGUCUUUCUUCUCAGUAGUACAGAUGCCGAAGACUGAGGUCGCUAAGUGGAAGGCUCCUGACUCUGGCGCACAGCCUUGACCUGCUCGUCCUUCUCGCCUCAAGCCGUAAACCCUCACUCAAUGCAACCUGGCGAACGCAGUGACAGCAGGGUGGACACUCGCACGUCCGGACCCUCUGGCCCCUGGCUGCCAGGACUGUUCCGGGAACCCGGCAGGUUUGCGCUCAUGGAGCUGUGACAGAGACAUGGUUGGCAGACUUAAGCCACCUGUGCAGGUGACCCAGCUCAGCCAGGCGCCGAGGUCUGCCUCCACCAUUCCGGUUGUAACCAGUGCCCCCCGAGUGCACACCACACCUGGGAAUUUGCCCCACCGGCUGUGGCAGAGCCCUCGCUGCUUGCUGUCCAGUGGCCCCCAGUGAUGAUCGGCGCCCCGAGGAGUCCCAUCAGGCUCCCUUCAGUGGUACCCGGCCAGCUGCCCGUGCAGCUGCAGAGCUAAGCAGAGCCCCAACCCCACCCACCGCGCUGCCUCCCAAUUCAUUUCACCGCCCCAAAGGCUGCAUGGGUCCUCUCCCCAGGGGCUGCAUGCCUGGCCCUAAAACCAGGACAACUGCACAUCUGGACCUGGGAGGCCCCUGCUGGGGGCCCUUCCCUGCACUCUCCCUCCCCUAGGAACUUGGUGUGAAGUCGGCUUGGUCAGGGGCAGAGCGUUUGCCGCCUUCCGGUCUGUGGACCCAGGCAGAGACUCCGGCUGCUGGGGCAGCUCCCGUCCUGCCGACGUCCGUUCCACCUUCCCGCCUCCCUUCUCUGAAACCCCAAGGGGCUGCGUGCUGGAUGCUGGCUCCCCAUGCAGGCGGCUUCUCUCUGAAGUGCUCCCUACUUCUAAGAUGUAUUUGAUGGGAACCCCACCUUGACCUUGCCUUGUGAUCCAAAUCCCUAGACUCAGUGCCUAUCGUCAUUUGAAAAAUAAAAAAAAUAAAAAAAAAUAAAACCAGCCUGUGCAAGCACCCAUUCAGACAGCCGCCUGCCCGGUGCGGAUAAAAGAAAUAUUUGUCUUGAUGAAAUGUUUACGCAAGUCCAUUUGACAUCUAAGAAGUUGGUUUUAUUUCUCCCCUUCUUCUUGGAUGUCCCCUCUGGCGACCCCAACUCUGCGUGUCUGGGGACAAGAAGGAGAAGAGAAGCUUGUCUCGCAGGAAGCGUCUCUGGGAAUUCCAGUCCUGUCUGUGCACGGGGCACACUCUGUGAGCACCCACCCCUGCGCGUGAGCACUCACUCCUAGGCGUGCCCGUGCAACCUCAGCUUUCCUGCAGGUGCGCAUCCAAGAAAAGCUCGCGUUUGCAAGUCACCAGUGAGAAAAUCAUGCUCAGACCCGGACAGGGCAGAAAGCGCACUUGGCGCGGCGAGAGGCCGUCUGCGGAGGCUGUCCUUGGCGUGAGGGUGAUGGCAGUGGAGGGGGUGCCCCAGGUACGUGCAGAGGGGAUAGCCUUGCUGAGAGAGUGUCAGGAACAGGAAGCAGUGCCUAGGGUGUGUGUGGCUGAGCAGCAGGGUCUGCCCCACAGGAGGGAGGGGGCACAGAGUCUGGGGACAGUGAGGACUGGGGGGUUCACCCUACGUGGGCUUAGAUGGCAGUGGGGAAUGUGGGCAGGGCCCUGCGACCCCGUAUGUGCACAUGUGUGUGCACGUGCACGUGCAUGGGCUGCAGGAUCUCUCUGGCUGCUCUGUAGAGACCCUGUGUGAGGGUGGACGUUUGCACAGUGGUUACACUGCAUCAUGAAGGCACACUCUGCAUCCCAGAGUGGCUGGGCUCAAGUCCCCGCUCCACUCUCCAUUCCAGCUUCCUGUGAAGGGGCACCCAGGGAGCCAGCCGGUGAGGACUCAAGUCCUUGGAUCCCUGCCACCCACCUGGGAGACCUGGGUUGAGUUCUGGGCUCCUGACUUCGGCCUGGCCCAGUCCUGACUAUUGUGGGUGUUUGGAAAGUGAGCCAACAAAUGGAAGAUCUGUGUGUGUGUGUGAACAUGUGUGCGUGUAUGUCAAUCUUUCUGCCUGUCAAAUAAAUAAAAUAAAAUGGAUAGCAAGACGUCUAUGGGGUGAGGAUGAGCGUGGAGAGGAACACACACACCCCAGGGCUGCAGGCACCCUGUUGUUGGUCGGAGGCCCCUCUGUCCUUCCAAGUGAGCUGUGUGUACACAGGUGCACGGCAGGUGCACCCUCGGGGUUGUCUUGGCAACGCUGUCCCCCUGCGUCCUCCCGACCUCCCCCUGUAACGGAGUGCUGUGCGUGGGUUCUGGCUGGGCAUUGCCCUGGCUGACUGAGUGCAAGCAGCCCGGGACUCUGGUGCACCUCCAGGCUGAGGCCUCCCCAUCAGCACCAGGUGAGGUCAACACUAGCGGACUGAGCACCACCGGCACACGUGAAGACUUGGACACGCAAGCAGGAAGAAACAGCAGCCAGGGGCCCAACGACCACCCCACUGAGGGUGGUGUGAGCAUCGCCGCUGGGGGCGUCCCCGAGGCCGUGUCAUCUCACCUCACGGCCAGCACUGCCCAUCCACACUCGGGUGCCUCGUCCUGCCUUCCCUACUGUGGAAUGUUCCCAAGAUGUCAGCCACAUCCCGCCACUUCCCUGUGUGUCACACCCGGGAGGCUUCCUCACACCUGCAGGAGUUGUCCCAGCUGCCCUGUCCACACCUGGUGCCCGCUGUCCCCCUCACUCCUGCACCGGGAGCCCACGGAGCCUGCAGACUCAGUGCGGGCAUCUGGGGCCACAUCACAGGGCCUGCCCUGUCACACAUGCAACCACGAGACACAUAGACACAUGAAGACACACACACCGCACAUGCACACACAGAACAAAUAGACACCUAGACAGCUGAAUCCAUACACACACCAUACAUAGGCACACAGAAAUCACCUAGACACACACAGAAAUCUCAUAUGGACAGAUGAAGACAUACACCGAACAUGCACACAGACACACGAGGACACACACACCACACAUGCACAUACAGAACACAUAGACACAGACACCUGGAGACACACAGAAGUCACACAGACACGCAGACACGUGAGAACACACACACCACACAUGCACAUACAGAACACAUAGACACCUGGAGACACACAGAAGUCACACAGACAUGCAGACACAUGAGGACAUGCACACCACACAUGCACAUACAGAACACAUAGACACCUGGAGACACACAGAAGUCACACAGACACAUGAAGACACACACACACACACACCAUGCACAUACAGAACACAUAGACACAGACACCUGGAGACACACAGAAGUCACACAGACACAUGAACACACACACAUCAUGUAUUCACAUACAGAGAACAUAGACACCUGGAGACACACAGAAGUCAUCAGACUCGCAGACACAUGAGAACACACACACCACACAUGCACAUACAGAACACAUAGACACAGACACCUGGAGACACACAGAAGUCACACAGACACGCAGACACGUGAGGACACACACACCACACAUGCACAUACAGAACACAUAGACACCUGGAGACACACAGAAGUCACACAGACACAUGAACACACACACACAUCAUGUAUUCACAUACAGAGAACAUAGACACCUGGAGACACACAGAAGUCAUCAGACUCGCAGACACGUGAGAACACACACACCACACAUGCACAUACAGAACACAUAGACACAGACACCUGGAGACACACAGAAGUCACACAGACACGCAGACACGUGAGGACACACACACCACACAUGCACAUACAGAACACAUAGACACCUGAGACACACAGAAGUCACACAGACACAUGAACACACACACACACCAUACAUUCACAUACAGAGAACAUAGACACAUAGACACCUGGAGACACACAGAAGUCACACAGACAUGCAGACACAUGAGGACACACACACCACAAUGCACAUACAGAACACAUAGACACACAGACACCUGGAGACACACAGAAAUCACACAGACAUGCAGACACAUGAGGACAUGCACAUAAAGAACACAUAGACACAGACAGCUGGAGACACACAAAAGUCACACACACAGACACAUGAGGACACACACACACACACCAUGUAUGCACAGAGUACAUAGUCACACAGACACAUGAAGACACACACCACACAUGCACACACAGACACACAGGCCCAUUUUUUCCUAUACCACACACAUAUACACUCCGGAGAAAGACUGACACAUGAAAACAAACACACACCACAUAUACACACACAGAUCCCACAUACCACACACAACACACACCCUCCAUAGAAACAUAGACACAUGAAGGCAUAUACAUAUACUAUACAUGUACACACACAGGCUCACCCACAUCACACAUUGCCAAACAAAAAGAUAGACACAGACACAGACACAGGAAUACACACCACUCACACACCCACACAGAUACACAUACAUGCACACAGAGCAACUCCACACAUAGCACACAUACACAUCACACAUAGCGUACACAGAGACACAAAACACAGACACACCACAACAUAUGCACACAAGAGAAAACCUAAAAUACACUACAUACACAAUAUAGACACAUGCAUAAAAACACACUUGGAGACACAGACACAAACACAUACCGAACACAGAUACACACGAACACACAGAGGCAUGCACAAACACACACACAUAUCCGCUUUGCACAAAUACACACUACACACAUGCAUAGACAAGCCCAGACACAUACAGACACAAACACACACACCAGACACAUACAGACACACACACACACACACCUGCUGGCUGCAUUAGCCAUGUCACGCCCCACUUAUUCCAUCAAAUUACUGUACUCUUACUUGACUCCCCUACUGGACUGUGUUUGGCAGGGGCCGUGUCUUGGUCAUCUUACUGCUGUCACACAGUCACGUGUGUGAGGCGUGCCGAGCGUGUGUGUUUAGCUUAGUGAAUCUGCAGAUGAGCAGGAGCCUGAGUGAUGUUCAGCCUGGUCCAGGUGACACCAUGAGAGCGUCCCAGGGGCUCCCGCAUGUCCUUCCCGGCCCAUCCUGGUCCAUCUCCAACUUCUCAGGAGCUGCUUCUGUGACUUGUAGGUGACAGACACCCGAUGUGGGGGCGGGGCUCCCUGGUGACAGACACCUGACAUGGGGGCGGGGCUCCCUGGUGACACCCCCCCAGACAUUGGGGGAGGGGCUCCCUGAUGACAGACACCCCGACAUGGGGGGAGGGGCUCCCUGUGACAGACACCUGACAUGGGGGGAGCCUGUCAGUCCUCUGUGGGAGAAGGAGAAGGGGGUUGAGGCUGACACCCUUGGUCACCCCAGCCUUCGCAGUUCUGAGACCAGAGGUAAGACGGGUAAGCGUCCUACAGUCUGAAGGAGGCUUGGUCACACAGCAGAUGUACUCCGGAUGAUUCCACAGGUCCAGCUGGAGACAGUAAUGGCCCCUGCUCCUUGUCUUGUCACCCUGGGCAGAGCCAGUUCCCAGACCUCACGGCAUCCUCGCCGCAGCCUUCGGUGAUAAGAAGAGCAGGUGUUCUUAUCAUCCUGCCCUCCACGAGGAGAGCCUGAGGCGCCGUCUCCGGGUGCACAGGUGCACAUGAUCUCUGGUGCAGGCUAAGCUGAGACCCUCACACAGGAUGGAAGCUUGCUUGGAAGUAGGCUGGUUGCAGGUGGCAGAGGUAAUUAGGUAGCACGAGCUCACCUUGGGGUAGGGUGACUCCAAGUAGUCCAGUGAGUGCUGGCCCUGGGGGGGGGAUGGGGACAGCCACACUGGGAGGCCAUCAGGGAGCCCACGCGGAGACAGAAGCAGCGAGCCGAGCGGUGUGGCCACAAGCCCCGGGAUGUGGAGAAGCCCGGGAGAGGCAGGGAAGGAGGGGUUCUCCCUGCAGGGUCAGAGCCCCUCAUGGCCUCCCGACGCCUUGGUUUUGGACCUGUAGCUGCAGAAUGGUAAGGCUGUACGUUUCUGUCAUUCCAAACCACCCAGUUCGUGAUCCUAUGUCUGUGCAGCCCUGGGAAACUAGUACAAGUCCCUUUGGACAGAUCCUCCUCUUCCUCCUCCUCCACCUCCUCUUCCUCUUCUUCCUCCUCCUCUACCUCCUCCUCCUCUUCCUCCUCUUUUUCCUACUUCUUCUAAGAUGUAGUCAUUUGAAAAGGCAGAGGUAUGGAAAGAAGAAGAGAUUGAGAUCUCCCAUCUGCUGGUUCACUCCCCAAAUGGCUCCAACAGUUGGAGCUGGGCUGAUAUGGAGCCAGGAUCCAGGAUCUUCAUCCAGGUCUCCCAUGUGGGUGGCAGGGGUCCAAGCACUUGGGCCAUCUUCUGCUGCUUUCCAAGGCCAUUAGCAGGGAGCGGGAUUGGAAGUGGAGCUGCCAGGACUCGAACUGAUGCCUGUAUGGGGUGCUGGCCCUGCAGGAGGAAGCUUAGCCCGCUACGCCACCGUGCCGGCCCCUGGACAGCUGCUUCUGCUCCUGCUCUGGGUCAGGAUGAUCCACGCAUGGGCCGGGGGUGACCUUUCUGCCUGCUGGUUCCUCCUCACCCAUACCCGUCUACCGGCAACCCCGGCCUUUCCUUUUUUAAAUAUUUUUUUUGUUAAACAACUUUUUUUUUUUUGACAGGCAGAGUUAGACAGAGAGAGAGAGAAAGAGAGAGACAGGGAGAAAGGUCUUCCUUUUUCCAUUGGUUCACCCCCCAAGUGGCCGCUAUGGCCGGUGCUGUGCGGAUCCAAAGCCAGGAGCUAGGUGCUUCCUCCUGGUCUCCCAUGGGGUGCAGGGCCCAAGCACCUGGGCCAUCCUCCACUGCACUCCCGGGCCACAACAAAGGGCUGGACUGGAAGAGGAGCAACCGGGACAGAACCGGUGCCCCAACCGGGACUAGAACUCAAAGUGCCGGCACUGCAGGCGGAAGAUUAGCCUAGUGAGCCGCGGCGCCGGCUCGGCCUUUCCCUUAAGGCAUGGCUGCGAUCCAUUGCCACAGACGCUCUUGUCCCUCCUCCCACAGAACCUGGCAAGGACAGAUGGCAUCCACACGGAUGCGGGCUUCUUACAUGGCGUCAGCAGAGUGGGCGCAAAGGGGGCCUCUCGGACUUUGUGCCUCUUUGGCUGAGCUAUGGCAGAUGGAGCGGGGGAGGGGCAACACCACGUGGAAUGGAUUUGGGCCCAAGCUUUGUCUGGAGGCUGAGUAUUGCUUUCAUUAGAAACACAAAAACCUGGGGCCCUGCACUGUGGCCACCCCACGACCUGUGGCGCCAGCAUCCAGUGGGCGCCUUUUCAAGUCCUCGCUACCCCACUUCUGAUCCACCUCCUUGCUAAUGCGCCUCGGAAAGCAGUAGACGAUGGCUCAAAUGCUUGGGCCCCUGCACCCAUAUGUGAGACUCUGAAGAAGCUCCUGGCUCCUGGCUUUGGCCUGGUCCAGCCCUGGCUGUUGUGGCCAUUUGGGGAGUGAACCAGCAGAUGGAAGAUUCUCUGUCUGUCUGUCUCUGCCACUCUGCCUUUCAAAUACAUACAUAAAUAAUAAUGAAAAAAUAAAUACAGAAGCCUAAUGCAUUUUGUACGGCUGGCUUUUCCUGAUGCCCUCUCUCUCGGGUCAAUUUUGCAUGUUGACGUGGUAACUGAACUUGAAGCUCCACCUACCGUUUCCAAGGCUCCACUGAGAGGGAGUGUGACGUCCUCUCUCUUCCCUAGACUCCCACAGCUCUGUACACGUGCCUGUCUUAGGUCAGACUCCACCGUCCACCUGCACCGGCGCAGGAGCCGACAGGUACUCACUGAGUGGGUGCACCUGCCCGCCUUGGGGAUCCCUCCCUGGACAGGGAGCUGCAGACCUCACGGAACUCACAAGUACUGUAUGGGGUGUAGGUGCCUAUAGUGGUGUCUGAACCACUAAUUGAGACACCUGUCACGUCAGCACAGUUUUCUAGAGUGUUGUACAAAUACAUGUGAACAGAGUUUGAUGCACAAGUUUGGUCCACUCUAGACCAUCGAGCCACACAGGCUGUGGCAGGUGCAUGACUGAACAACACAGAGCACUGGCUCACGGUGGACCCCAUGCACUGGCACAGGGUCCCAGUUGGCCCUACUGGCAGAGGUCGAAUGCUCUGCAGCUGCCAUCCUGGACAUUUUAAUACUAUUACCUCUGGGGGCCGGCGCUGUGGUAUAGUGGGUAAAGCUGCCGCCUUCAGUACUGGCAUCCCAUAUGGGCUCUGGUUCGAGUCCUGGCUGCUCCACUUCUGAUCCAGCUCUCUGCUGUGGCCUGGGAAAGCAGUGGAAGAUGGGCCAAGGCCUUGGGCCCCUGCACCCAUGUGGGAGACCUGGAAGAAGCUCCUGGCUCCUGGCUUCGGAUCGGCGCAGCUCCGGCUGGUUGUGGCCAAAUGGGGAGUGAACCAGCGGAUGGAAGAUCUCUCUGUCUCUUUCUCUCUCUGCCUCUCCUUCUCUCUCUGUGUAACUCUGACUUACAAAUAAAUAAAUGAAUCUUUAAAAAAAUAAUACUACCUCUGAACAGGUGGUGGCUCUGCCCAUGGGGCAACA